GCCACAAGUUAGUAACGAGAUAUCAAAAUUAACACCGGCACAACAUGCGCAACGGGAACGAGAGUGAGUCCUAAAGCAAAGCACUGUUCGGCGAUCAGAACAACACUUACUAUGGGAUACCAGGACACAACCUCUACACGAAAUAAAUAUUGGGGCUGUCCGUGAUGAGCAUUGUGCCAACAUUGGCAACAACGUCCGUAGUCGUGAGGAUACACAAAGGGCAGACACAACUACUCAGGCAAGACAGAAGUCAAGUUAUGCGGACAAGGGGAAAGGGCUUCUCACCUAUGCUAAUGAAAAAGAUACUUCUUUGGUAGAGCCACUUCGAGAAAGAAAUGUUGGAGUUGAAAUCCAUAAAGAACGGAAUGUGAACAUCAUAUGUAUUCAUGAGGUACUUCCUACACUAUUUAUAUAGAGACCAUGAAAGUAACAACAAAACAU